AAAAAGACAUGGAACAGUAUUCUUGAGUAGAAAAAUUUAUAUGUAUAUAUCGAACGAAUACAUUUACACUUUCGGUAUUAACUUACAGUGCUAAUUAGCUCCUCAUUAGAAAAAAAUUGCUCAAAAUUUAAAUGUAUACGAAAUCUUAUAUAAAAUUUUAAAGCAUAUUCAGUCUGUACGUAUUAAUACCUACAUUUUAUAGCUGUUCGUACAUAAUAAUAAGUCGCCAAUAAGAAAGAAUUUGCAGCGCGACUAAAAAGAUCGAAACACGGACCCGUCUUCUAUUUUCCCGCCUUUUCCCGCUGUUUCUCGCGUCCCGCGUCUUUCGGCGGAAUCGCAUAGUGUCGACGGGUCGUGUUUGUCGCUUCGUCCGACAAGCACACGUACUUACGGAUUCGUUGAGAGCGUUCGCGCGAAAGUACCUUGUCGAGAUAACUCCGUGGAAACGGAGCGUGACGAGUUCGUUACGAUCAUUGCCGUCCAUUCGGUUAAUUCGUCCGGGCGACGUUGCGACAAAUUGCAGCCCGAUUGUCGGAACAGGUAUUCGCCUCGAGCUAAUCAUCCAUCUCAAUCUCGUGGACUUUCGAUACUCGUCCGACUCCGUCUAUCAAUCUAGCCGAAACGCGUGACUCUAGUACCCAUUGCCGGUGUACGUUUCAGUAUUAUGCAUAUCUGCGGUGAAACCAUAACCAAUAAAAGGGACAGAAAGCUCCAUUGCGUCGCGUCGGUGCGAGCGCGUUCGUACGCCGUGAACAUGCAGCGGAUAGAUUCCGCUGUACGUUCGCAGCGGACCAAUCAAAUUGGAAAUCGAUGCGAUCCCGGCCGCGGAUCGAUUCCGCGUUCCCAGUGAUAACUGUGGGUGCAACGGGUCGGGUCGGUCGCCGCGGUCGUCGCGCUCGUCGUACUCGUCGCCGGGGAUUCGGCGAGUUCCGCGCGACUUGCCGUGAGAUUAUCCGUCGCACGGAUUCCGCGGGUGCUCGAGUGCACGGGGAACACGCCGAUAUCCCUCCCCGGCCUGCGAUAGAGUGGCUCUCGUCCAUGGAUUUCGGUCGGCCGUGACGUCACGGCUACUCCAACCUCCAACGAGUGUCCUCGUCCACCAUGCUCGUGAUCCGCCGUGUCCGCCUAAUUCCGGAGGGCUCGAUCGGACAACUCGAUUCCAGCUUGGGGAAACAACGGACGAGUCUCGCGGCCUGCCGGUUACGGUAUCGGCGCGAUAAAUCUACGAUGGAUGGACGUCGAGGUGUCGUUAGGAAAAGCUUUGAUCGUGCGCUAUUAAUAGCGUUAAGGACGAAGAGUAAGGGAGCCACGAUGGAUCAUCGCGGAGCUCGUUGAACCUUCCAGGGAACACGAACUUUUCUUUGCAGUAAGCACUUCGCCAAAAUGUCUUUAUUUGCUUGACAUAAUGCGACCGUAAUUAAUAUACUGAUGGCACGCGAUCCAAUUACCGUACUGACGGGAAAAGUUUAACGCUUUGAUUUAAAGAUCUAUGAAUAACGAAAGGUACAAUUAACAUUGUGUCAGCGUAUUAGAUUUAUGAAUAUUUGACACGGUGGUACAAAUUGAAACGUAGAAUGACAAGGAAACAUAAAUAAUCAUGAAAUAUUUAUGCAGCAAUGCUCACGUAGCACAAAUCGCCGUAUUAGAUUCUCUAAAUUAUCGUAAUUGACUACAGAUUAAAUCAAUUUUUCCACAGCAUCUUGUUUCUUGAUGUAAAUCUGUUUUAUUAAUUAAUUCCAUGAUAUUUAUCGCAUAGACAUAUUGGUGUCACGUGGGAAGGGUUUGCGCAAAUUUUUCUCUCGAACCUCAGAGCGAUGAUUCUACUUGAAGAGUCUUGGCGCAUUCGAUCCCGCGAGCGUGCAAACAUCCUUCUCCACCCCGACGGUGUACGAGAGCGAGAUGGAAGUCGAGGUGUAUAUACUCCUGUGCCGGAUAAGUAUCAAGUAUACAGGUCGGCAGAUAUAGUCGGCCAGUAUCGACCGGGUAGCCAAGUUCAACAGCCAAUCCCCGGCUGCGCAUUAAAACCACGCCCUUUAUUUCGCGGUUGCAUUAGCCACAUCUCGCGAGCUGUAUUUAAGUCAAGAUGGAAUACUUAGUUUCUUCCACUUUCAUUCGCGACGGGGGAGGAGAAGAACCGUGAGAUACGAUGCCCCGUCGCUCCAUGGGCGCCGCGGAGUUGAAAGCAGAGAGUGACUGCUUUUUUAUAUUAUUUGCCGCUGCAUGAUGUCAUCGAAUUAACGCGCUUCUUAUUGUAACUACGAGAAGAAGUGAUUAGAAUUAGAUUUGAGUUUGUUGCUAUAGCAAAGAUAAACUUAUAGUUACAAUUUUUUUUUAUCAUGUUGCUAUGUGCCCCGUGCUUACGUUAGAUAAUAAAAGAUAAUUAAUUGUGACAGAA
rnacentral:lncRNA from 1 species